rnacentral:rRNA from 1 species
GCCUGGUCUGAUCCGCUCCGGAUACGGUAGUGUGUAUCGGUACCUGGUUGCCAUCCUUCUAGAAAACCUGUCUAACCCUUAACUGGGCGGGGCGGCGAUCUAGAACUUUUACUUUGAAAAAAUUGGAGUGUCCAAAGCAGGCUUGCGCUAUGAACACAUUAGCAUGGAAUAAUAAUCUAGGACUCGGGUUCUAUUUUAUUGGUUUCUAGGAAUCGAGUAAUGAUUGAUAGGGACGGUUGGGGGUGCUAGUAUUCAGCGGCCAGAGGCGAAAUUCUUGGAUUCUCUGAAGACUAACUUAUGCGAAAUCAUUCACCAAGGAUGUCUUCUUUAAUCAAGAACGAAAGUUGGGGGAUCGAAGACGAUCAUAUACCGUC